rnacentral:rRNA from 1 species
AUUGAACGCUGGCGGCAUGCUUUACACAUGCAAGUCGAACGGCAGCGCGGGCUUCGGCCUGGCGGCGAGUGGCGAACGGGUGAGUAAUGCAUCGGAACGUGCCCAGUAGUGGGGGAUAGCCCGGCGAAAGCCGGAUUAAUACCGCAUACGACCUGAGGGUGAAAGCGGGGGAGCGAAAGGCCUCGCGCUAUUGGAGCGGCCGAUGUCGGAUUAGCUAGUUGGUGGGGUAAAGGCUUACAAAGGCGACGAUCCGUAGCUGGUCUGAGAGGACGACCAGCCACACUGGGACUGAGACACGGCCCAGACUCCUACGGGAGGCAGCAGUGGGGAAUUUUGGACAAUGGGGGCAACCCUGAUCCAGCCAUGCCGCGUGCGGGAAGAAGGCCUUCGGGUUGUAAACCGCUUUUGUUCGGGAAGAAAUCCUCUGGGCUAAUACCCCGGGGGGAUGACGGUACCGGAAGAAUAAGCACCGGCUAACUACGUG